rnacentral:rRNA from 1 species
AUUGAACGCUGGCGGCAGGCCUAACACAUGCAAGUCGAGCGAGCGGCGGACGGGUGAGUAAUGUCUGGGUAACUGCCUGAUGGAGGGGGAUAACUCCUGGAAACGGUCGCUAAUACCGCAUACCAUAAGAUGUGCCCAGAUGGGAUUAGCUAGUAGGUGGGGUAACGGCUCACCUAGGCGACGAUCCCUAGCUGGUCUGAGAGGAUGACCAGCCACACUGGAAAUGGUACACGGUCCCGAUUCCUACGGGAGGCAGCGGUGGGGAAUAUUGCACAAUGGGCGCUAGCCAGAUGCAGCCAUUGCGCGUGUGUGAAGAAGGCCUUCGGGUUGUAAAGCACGUUCAGCGGGGAGGCGUUACCCGCAGAAGAAGCACCGGCUAACUCCGUGCCAGCAGCGGCGGUAAUAC